ACGAACGCUGGCGGCGUGCUUAACACAUGCAAGUCGAACGGAAAGGCCCUGCUUUUGUGGGGUGCUCGAGUGGCGAACGGGUGAGUAACACGUGAGUAACCUGCCCUUGACUUUGGGAUAACUUCAGGAAACUGGGGCUAAUACCGGAUAGGAGCUCCUGCUGCAUGGUGGGGGUUGGAAAGUUUCGGCGGUUGGGGAUGGACUCGCGGCUUAUCAGCUUGUUGGUGGGGUAGUGGCUUACCAAGGCUUUGACGGGUAGCCGGCCUGAGAGGGUGACCGGCCACAUUGGGACUGAGAUACGGCCCAGACUCCUACGGGAGGCAGCAGUGGGGAAUAUUGCACAAUGGGCGGAAGCCUGAUGCAGCAACGCCGCGUGCGGGAUGACGGCCUUCGGGUUGUAAACCGCUUUCGCCUGUGACGAAGCGUGAGUGACGGUAAGGGGUAAAGAAGCACCGGCUAACUACG
rnacentral:rRNA from 1 species